rnacentral:rRNA from 1 species
GACGAACGCUGGCGGCGUGCUUAACACAUGCAAGUCGAACGGAAAGGCCCUGCUUUUGUGGGGUGCUCGAGAGGCGAACGGGUGAGUAACACGUGAGUAACCUGCCCUUGACUUUGGGAUAACUUCAGGAAACUGGGGCUAAUACCGGAUAGGAGCUCCUGCUGCAUGGUGGGGGUUGGAAAGUUUCGGCGGUUGGGGAUGGACUCGCGGCUUGUCAGCUUGUUGGUGGGGUAGUGGCUUACCAAGGCUUUGACGGGUAGCCGGCCUGAGAGGGUGACCGGCCACAUUGGGACUGAGAUACGGCCCAGACACCAACGGGAGGCAGAAGUGGGGAAUAAUGCACAAUGGGCGGAAGCCUGAUGCAGCAACGCCGCGUGCGGGAUGACGGCCUUCGGGUUGUAAACCGCUUUCGCCUGUGACGAAGCGUGAGUGACGGUAAUGGGUAAAGAAGCACCGGAUAACUACGUG